rnacentral:rRNA from 1 species
UACGUAGGGUGCGAGCGUUGUCCGGAAUUAUUGGGCGUAAAGAGCUUGUAGGCGGUCUGUCGCGUCUGCUGAGAAAAUCCGGGGCUCAACCCCGGACUUGCAGUGGGUACGGGCAGACUAGAGUGUGGUAGGGGAGACUGGAAUUCCUGGUGUAGCGGUGAAAUGCGCAGAUAUCAGGAGGAACACCGAUGGCGAAGGCAGGUCUCUGGGCCACUACUGACGCUGAGAAGCGAAAGCAUGGGGAGCGAACAGG